ACAGGAGACGGGGAAUGGGCGUGGGAAAAAAAGAAGGGGAGGGGGGAGAGGCCAUUGUCUUCUUCUUCCUCCUUUACUCACUUCACCCCUUGUAAACUAUUUUCAUCAUAACUUCCUCAUACGAUAAUGAAAUCACACAAGGCUGGAAGUUAUAUUUUUGUAGUAAAGUUGUCUUCAAUCUGAUACUAUACCCACCCUUUGAAAACCGGUGUACAAAGAAAAUGAGGUCCAAAUGUAUUGACGUUUCUGGCGACUUUUCUCUGAUUUCGGUUCACCCCUUUAAGUGAAGAUAAUGAUUCUUUCCUCAUGGGCUCUCCUCUAGCGUUGUGAUGGAUGCUGUUAAUAAGCCUCGGGAUAUCACCUAUAAAGGACUAACAGACUUGGUCACUAAGUAAGAACUGAAUUGACAUGCUUUCACUAGUUUUGUAUGUUUUGAUGCUUCAAUUGACUUGUAGUGAUAACACUUUCUAGAAUAGACUAGAGUAGAGGUUGAAACUUACAUGUAAAGGUUGAACCUUUUACAAGCAAGAUACACUAAUCAUGAAGGAACUUCUAAGUAUCACCUUAUUCUUGGAGAGGAGGUGGAAUAACUGGAGAUGCAUCAUCUGAUUAUAUGUGGUGCAUUGAUCAUUUAGGUUAGUAUCUUCUAAGGGGCAGUAUAGGUAUGCUUGUGCAUAUUGGGUUUUUCAAGACCACCAAGUAUGAUAUGGUUCAUGAUAGUGGUGUGUUUCAGAACAUGAUUUACUGUAAAUCAGUUACCAGGUUGUUUCAGCCAUCGUAAUUCUUGCCUCAAUACUUUUGACUCAUACUUUUUCAUAACAAAUUGUUGCAGUGUAAAUAUUAUGAUUUUGUAUAUAGACGGCAGUUCAUAUACUUAAUACAUACAUGAAUGUUUAGAGAUGAACUUUCUAAUGACAGAUAUGAAAUUGGAAAGAGCUAUUAGGGUGGUAGCUGGAUUGUCGUUUUAUAUCCAGAUACCUUUAAUAAGAAUAGCCUGAAAAUUCUUAGUUUUGUCUUAUCUAACCUCUGAUAUCUUCGUAGAUGGAACAACAAAUUUUGCACAUGGUUAUUCUAGCUUUGCAGUUUCUGUUGGAGUUUUAUUUCGAGGAAGACCUGUUGCUGCUGCAGUGGUACUGAUCACAUAUAGUAGAUUUUAUUUGACAUGUUGCUUGCAUGAUUGCAUGAUAUGUUAAGAUGUCUAUUUGAUUUUCUAGUACUUCCCUUCUCAUGUGGGCCUCAUUAUUAGAGUCAAGAGUGUCUUCAACUUAUAUUGCAAGGUUGCGAUGUGAUGAUUUGAGCUCAGGAUCUCUUACUCUGUUACCAUGAUAAAUAUUAUUUAUUUACCAUUGUUUUCAAAAGCUCGAACUGUUAGGAUGUGGACCAAAAAUCAUCUAUUACUAUAACGUCUAUGACUGACAUAGUGGAAAUUAACAUGUUGGUUUUCUGUUUAUAUUUUCAGAUAGAGUUCGUUGGGGGCCCUGUGUUGGAAUACCCGCAUUUUUUCUGCUAGUGCUUGUAUGGAAGUUCUUCCUAAAUAGUUGCCUUAGUCUUAAUUGAUUUUGUAAUUGUACUAAUGAUGUUGAGCUCAAUCGAUAAUCUGUGUUAUGAUAGGAGGGGGAGCAUUUUGUAAUGGCCAAAGAAUUCACGUGAGCCAAACUGAUGAGCUUAAUAUUCCUUUUAUUAGAAGAAAAAGAAUUUUGAAAUCUAUAACUAUGUCGAAUCGUGUUACUUUAGGUCGAUGACUAAGUCUGAUCUUAUUUGAUGUUAGAAUAUUUGCAGUGGUAUAUUGAUUAACACUUACUGCUAUUCCUUUGUACUAGAAUGCAAUAAAUAAAGGUACAAAACCAUAACAUACCUUAGGCUGUGAUUAUCUUUACCCAAUUUUCUUCAGAAAUUCCAACCACCACCAGAAUGUUAGGCAUAAAGGUAGUAAGUUAGAAACUAGAAAAGGUAUUAGAGAGAAAGAUGAGCUAUCUCAUGUGUAUCGCUUACUGUAUAAAGGAGAAACCAUUUUAUAUUUUAUUUAGGCUCAUACUCUUCCAUAUUUGAGGUGGGACGAUCUCUUCUUGUUACUGGAUUUGGUUAUGAACAAGAUGAUGUGUGGAUCACCAACAUAGAGUUAUUUAAAGAGUUCACCUACAUCAGAAGGGGUGUAAGCAGGCUCAGUGCAGCUGCGGUAGACAUGUGCCAUGUAGCUCUUUGGAUUGUAGAAGCCCACUGGGAAUAUCGACUAAAGCCAUGGGAUACAGCAGCUGGUGUUUUGAAUCGUGGCAUCCAGAAGUGUGAUUUAAAGAAUUCAUAGAAUUUGGUAUGGCAAUUCAUAGAACUUGGGAGCAGCCUCUCCAUAAAAUGGGGGUAAGGCUAGCCGACAUUCACCUCUCCCAGACCCUGCGUAAAGCGGGAGCCUUGUGCACUGGGUACGACCUUUUUUAGUUGAAGAGGCUGGAGUAAAGGUUACAUGCAUGGAUGGCGGAAAAUUCUCUGUAUUUGAAAGAUCUAUCUUGGUAUCGAACUGUGUGCUGCAUGGCAAGCUCUUAGAGAAGGUUGCACCUGCAACAGAGAAAUUGAAGAGCAAAGGAAUUAAUUUCUCAUCAUGGUAGUGGUACAAGCCCGAAGAUUACACAAGAGACAUUUGAUGCGCCUGAAAGUUCAUUUUUUCUUUGUUUUUGCCAAUGGUGCUGAGAAGAUAUCUUCCACAGGAAGGUGGUCUCUCAUUGUUUCAUUGGUGACUUUCGCUGUAACGUGCAUUUCAAGCGCGUGAUAUAUAUGUUAUAUCUCAACAUGUCUUCCUUUACUGAUAUGAAUAUUGCUUUAGGGGUUUUA